CAAAGGAGGCGACUCCGGUGACGGAUGGGCAUGCGGCGCAUUAGGUAGUUGGUAGGGUAACGGCCUACCAAGCCGACGAUGCGUAGGGGUUCUGAGAGGAAGGUCCCCCACAUUGGAACUGAGACACGGUCCAAACUCCUACGGGAGGCAGCAGUGAGGAAUAUUGGUCAAUGGCCGGAAGGCUGAACCAGCCAAGUCGCGUGAGGGAAUAAGGCCCUAUGGGUCGUAAACCUCUUUUGUCAGGGAGCAAAGGCGUCCACGUGUGGACGAGGGGAGAGUACCUGAAGAAAAAGCAUCGGCUAACUCCGUGCCAGCAGCCGCGGUAAUACGGAGGAUGCGAGCGUUAUCCGGAUUUAUUGGGUUUAAAGGGUGCGUAGGCGGAGUGUCAAGUCAGCGGUAAAAUUUCGGGGCUCAACCCCGUCGUGCCGUUGAAACUGACACCCUUGAGUGAGUGAGAAGUAAGCGGAAUGCGUGGUGUAGCGGUGAAAUGCAUAGAUAUCACGCAGAACGCCGAUUGCGAAGGCAGCUUACCGGCGCUCAACUGACGCUGAGGCACGAAAGUGCGGGUAUCGAACAGGAUUAGAUACCCUGGUAGUCCGCACAGUAAACGAUGAAUGCUAGAUGUCCGGGGCGAAUGAGCUCUGG
rnacentral:rRNA from 1 species